CCUACGGGAGACAGCAGUGGGGAAUAUUGCACAAUGGGGGAAACCCUGAUGCAGCGACGCCGCGUGAGUGAAGAAGUAAUUAGGUAUGUAAAGCUCUAUCAGUAGGGAAGAAAAUGACGGUACCUGAGUAAGAAGCCCCGGAUAACUACGUGCCAGAAGCGGCGGUAAUACGUAGGGGGCAAGCGUUAUCCGGAUUUACUGGGUGUAAAGGGAGCGUAGACGGGAGGGCAAGUCUGGAGUGAAAGGCGGGGGCUCAACCCCAGGACUGCACUGGAAACUGUACGGCUGGAGUGCAGGAGAGGUAAGUGGAAUUCGUAGUGUAGCGGUGAAAUGCGUAGAUAUUAGGAAGAACACCAGUGGCGAAGGCGGCUUACUGGACUGUAACUGACGUUGAGGCUCGAAAGCGUGGGGAGCAAACAGGAUUAGAUACCCCUGUAGUC
rnacentral:rRNA from 1 species